GGGGGAAAAGGGGGGCAUGCUAAGACAUGCAAGUCGAACGAGGUGUCCCAAUGAAAAUGAAGUACUUGUACGGAAGAGGAUUUGGAUUCACACCUAGUGGCGAACGGGUGAGUAACGGGUAGGCAACCUGCCCUCAAGACGGGGAUACCAGUUGGAAACGACUGUUAAUACCGGAUAGUAUACAAUAUCGCAUGGUAAUGUAUUUAAAGGAGCUUCGGCUUCACUUGAGGAUGGGCCUGCUUUGUAUUAGAUAGUUGGUGAGGUAAUGGCUCACCAAGUCAACGAUGCAUAGCCGAACUGAGAGGUUGAACGGCCACACUGGAACUGAGACACGGUCCAGACUCCUACGGGAGGCAGCAGUUAGGGAUAUUGGGCAAUGGAGGAAACUCUGACCCAGCAAUGCCGCGUGAGUGAAGAAGUAUUUCGGUAUGUAAAACUCUGUUGUAUGGGAGGAAAGAACUAGUAGGAAAUGGCUAGGAGAUGACUGUACCAUACGAGAAAGUCACGGCUAACUACGUGCCAGCAGCCGCGGUAAUACGUAGGUGGCAAGCGUUAUCCGGAAUUAUUGGGCGUAAAGGGUGCGUAGGUGGCAUGUUAAGUCUGGUGUAAAAGGCAAUAGCUCAACUAUUGUAUGCAUUGGAAACUGGCAAGCUAGAGUGUGUGAGAGGUAAGUGGAAUUCCAAGUGUAGCGGUGGAAUGCGUAGAUAUUUGGAGGAACACCAGUGGCGAAGGCGGCUUACUGGCACACAACUGACACUGAGGCACGACAGCGUGGGGAGCAAAUAGGAUUAGAUACCCUAGUAGUCCACGCCGUAAACGAUGAGCGCUAAGUGUUGGCCAUUAGUUUGGUCAGUGCUGAAGCAAACGCAUUAAGCGCUCCGCCUGAGGAGUACGGUCGCAAGGCUGAAACUCAAAGGAAUUGACGGGUCCCCGCACAAGCGGUGGAGCAUGUGGUUUAAUUCGAAGAUACGCGAAGAACCUUACCUACACUUGACAUCCCUCUGACAGAUAUAGAGAUAUAUUUUUUCUUCGGACAGAGGUGACAAGGUGGUGCAUGGGUUGUCGUCCAGCUCCUGUCCUGGAAAUGUUGGGGUUAAGUCCCGCAACCAAGCGCAACCCCUUAUUAUUAAGUUGCUAACAUUUAAGUUUAAGGACUCUUAGUCAGAA
rnacentral:rRNA from 1 species